CCUACGGGAGGCAGCAGUGGGGAAUAUUGGGCAAUGGAGGCAACUCUGACCCAGCAAUGCCGCGUGAGUGAUGAAGGUAAUUUUAUUGUUAAGCCUCUUUCUUUGGAACGAAUAAAUGACGGUACCCAAGCAAUAAGCCUCGGCUAACUACGUGCCAGCAGCCGCGGCAAUCCGUAGGGGGCAAGCGUGGUUCGGAAUGAAUGGGCGUUAAGGGUGUGUGGGUGGUUUGAUAAGUUAGAUGUGUAAUACCCAGGGCUUAAAUCCGGUGCUGCAGCUCAAACUGUUAAUCUUGAGUACGGGAGAGGUUAGUGGAAUGCGUGGUGUAGCGGUGGAAUGCAUAGAUAUUAGGCAGAACAUCAGUGGCGAAGGCGACUAUCUGGUCAACAACUGACACUGAGGCACGAAAGCGUGGGUAGCGAACAGGAUUAGAUACCCUAGUAGUC
rnacentral:rRNA from 1 species